rnacentral:lncRNA from 1 species
UUUUUUAAAGUCUGUACCCAUGACAUAUGGAAGUUCCUAGGCUGGGGGUCGAAUCAGAGCUACAGCUGCCAGCCUAAGCUAGAGCCACAGCAAAAUGGGAUCUGAGCCACAUCUGCAACCUUCCCCACGGCUCAUGACAAUGCUGGAUCCCUGACCCACUGAGCAGUUCAGGGAUCAGACUUACAUCCUCAUGGGAUACUAGUCGGAAUCAUUUCUACUGCCCCACAAUGGGAAUUCCUUAGCUGUGUGUCAUUAAAGUGAAUCUGCCGAGAAAUUGGCUCAUUGACAAACUAAAUAUAAAGCCAUGAGGAAAUGGGAAAUCUGUUUCUAAUUAGUUUAAGGUGUACUGCAACGUUGGUAGCAUGAAGAAUAGAUGAGAUGAUGGAGCAGCAAGGAAGAGAGGAUUUAGUUGUUUUAUGUGCACUGGAGUGCUGUUUUAUGAUUGUGUCCUGGGUUGGAACUGAUGCUAUUAUGCUGGAGAACUAGUGAAUUUGGUCCUCUGACUCCAGAUGCUUCAGGCGCUACAUACACAAAUAUUUUUGUUUCCUUUCCAUAUUCCUCUCUUUAUUGGGGAAAGUUCAUUUUAAUCCCAUAUAUAUAUCAGGUUAGAGGACAAUAAAAUAAGAGAGAACCUCAUUAGAGAGUAGCAAAUGUCUGUCCAGGGUCUGUGGUUAACAGUAGCAUCUCCCAGGUCCAAACUCACUCUUUAACUUACAGUUUUUUCACUGUAAGCCAGAAAAGGCUCUAGUUCCUCAAGCAUGAGAAGCAACUAAAUGAUAUUUAUUUAUUUAUUUAUUUAGUAUUUUAGGACUGCACCUGAAGUAUAUGGAAGUUCCCAUGCUAGGCAUUGAAUUGGAGCUGCAAUUGCCAGCCUACACCACAGUCACAGCAAUGGGAGAUCCAAGCCAUGUCUGUGACCUUCACCCCAACUCAUAGCAACACCGGAUCUUUACCCACUGAGUGAGGCCAGAGAUUGAACCUAUUUCCUCAUGGAUACUAGUCAGGUUCAUUUCUGCUGAGCCACAAGGGGAGCUCCCAAUAAUUAAUUGUUGAUGUAUAUGUACAUUAUCCAUGAUAACAAUAAUAACAUGGAGAAUAAUAAUCACAGAGUCCAUUAGUGCACAUAAAUCCUGUGUUCCCUCUGCUACUCCCGGCCUGGAGCCCAUGACCAGUUGUGUCAAUACACCUAGGGCUUUAGUAAUGUUCUCUCCUGAAAAAUGACACCUUGUCCCCCCAACCUUCCCCCCCAACACAAAUGCUUCCGUAUAACGGAUGCCAGCUUGCUGUAAUUUUGACUCAUUAAAGCAUGAUUCAGACCAGCCCAUCAUUAUGCUCACUUUCUAAUUACCAGGACUGGACACUUUUAGACAGAAAGAAAAACCACACACUGAGAUCUUUGAUGCUUGAUAUUGACUGACUUUUUAUUCUGGUCGUGAUUUGUUCUUCCUUACAAUUCCUCACCCCAUUCUAGCUUCCUCAGUUUUUAUAUAUAUAUGUUUUUUCUUCCAAUUCCACAGCAAGAAGACAUAAUGCCUCAGCAAGAUUUAAUAUGUAAAAUCUUUCCCCCUUAUUCCUCAUCCUUUCCUUUAUCAUUAGCUCUUUUAAGCCCAGUAGCUGCUAACAGUUACAUUUUUACUGACUGAUGACUUAGCAAAGAGAUCUCAAAUCCACUUAUUUCCAAAUAUUAUUGAGAGCUAUGUCCCAGCUUCCUACCAAGCAGACCAUCUCUGUCCUUUCUUCUCACUUCUACUGUUCCUUUCCUCUUUACAGUCACGAUUUCCCUCUAUUGUCUAUUUCUUCUGUUACUCGUUCUUUUCUUCUUUUUACACUCACUUUUACCCUGUUUCACAUGUAGUGACUUGUACAUUCAUUUCCUCUCCUGAAAAUAAAAUAAGAACUUCAAAGAGGCAUGAAUGAUCUCUCCUGUUUUAAUAAUUAAAGAUGAAUCCUCCACAAAGCUUGCUGUGCUGUUCCCAGUGUUCGCAUUAGAUCAGAAACGGCAUUUUUUAGCCCCCAAAGAAAUAUAUCAGAGUAGUUCCCACCCUGAAAUACAUGGCACGAAGCCCAGCUUUUCCCUGGAACCAGAGUGUUACCAAUGGGUCUGUUUCAAAGUAAGUGUAGUCAGAAUAUGGGCAGGAGGAUUUGAUAGUGUUUGAUAAUUCACAAUUUAACAGCUAAGGAAAGGCGGCUUAUUAUUAAAUGCAAAUAAAACGAAAUGAAGUCCAGCUGUCUGGGUGCAGAUAGAAAUUACACAAAGCCUAUAAGCCACUCUGGAGAUCUUAACUACUCGACAGAACAGAGCUCCGGGAGCUGGCAGCAAGCACAAAUCCCUUCUUUGAAGGGGCCUGCACCCUGUAUUAUCUCCGGAGAAAGACUCGGAUUAUACAGUCAGCUUGGAAAACUAAGGUGUGACUAGAAGCAGGGCAAGCACAGCCACUUCAUGGAAGGCAAACAUGUUUCGAGUUUUAACCUCCAUAGUUCCUAUUGUUACCUUCUCUUUCUGCAGGAUGGUUUUUACUGGCCAAUAGAAAACUGCCAAUUUUCUUAUAGGGUAGAAAGACAGAUUGCCUAGAGCUAAAAGAUACAUAUUAUCCCAGACUACCCAAAUUCAUAACAUUAAUAUAACUGCUUCCAAAUGAUCAAAAGUGCAAACCUGGGAACAUGAUAAUAAUUUCACAUAAAUUGUACAUAUAUAGAUCAAUUAGAUCUAUUUCUAUUUUAAAACAAUGAAAGUACUUCACACCUAUGAAAUUAGACAUCUUUUCCUAUCAGUUCGGCUUCAGGCUUCUGAUGGACAAUAUUUUAGAGGAAAUAUCAAAGCUGGAUCUGCAGAACUGAUUAACUUCAAGAUGGCGGCAGGUUUCAUUUACUGAAAACAAUGUAUUGCAUAUGUUAUUUGCUAAUUCAGAAAACUCUAGGGAUACUUCUUGCCAGGUCAAAUUAACAUCCCUUCUUCAGCAGUUCUACACUGUGUGGCCUAAUUUGGGAUUUCUAUACAUACAUCCCACACAGAUGGGAAGAUCUCAUCUGUGUUUCAAGAGUUUUGUGUUGUUCUCACUUCGUACCUUCUGGGCCUGGGAUACCUCUCCCCUUUGUAAUCAGUGAAAUUUAACACAUGCUUCCAAGCUACUUCAAAUCUCGACUUCUCACCAGACCUUUCCCUAAAUGUACACUUCUCUGAGGGAUUACUGUACCUCCUACACCAGCACUCAUUUU